rnacentral:rRNA from 1 species
CACGUAGGGCGCAAGCGUUGUCCGGAAUUAUUGGGCGUAAAGAGCUCGUAGGUGGUUUGUUACGUCUGCUGUGAAAACCUAGGGCUUAACCCUGGGCUUGCAGUGGAUACGGGCAGACUAGAGGUAGGUAGGGGAGAAUGGAAUUCCUGGUGGUAGCGGUGAAAUGCGCAGAUAUCAGGAGGAACACCGGUGGCGAAGGCGGUUCUCUGGGCAGUAACUGACGCUGAGGAGCGAAAGCGUGGGGAGCGAACGGG